AACGAACGCUGGCGGCAUGCCUAACACAUGCAAGUCGAACGAAGUCUUCGGACUUAGUGGCGCACGGGUGCGUAACGCGUGGGAAUCUGCCCUUAGGUACGGAAUAACUCAGGGAAACUUGUGCUAAUACCGUAUGAUGUCGAAAGACCAAAGAUUUAUCGCCUAGGGAUGAGCCCGCGUAGGAUUAGCUAGUUGGUGGGGUAAAGGCCUACCAAGGCGACGAUCCUUAGCUGGUCUGAGAGGAUGAUCAGCCACACUGGGACUGAGACACGGCCCAGACUCCUACGGGAGGCAGCAGUGGGGAAUAUUGGACAAUGGGCGAAAGCCUGAUCCAGCAAUGCCGCGUGAGUGAUGAAGGCCUUAGGGUUGUAAAGCUCUUUUACCCGGGAAGAUAAUGACUGUACCGGGAGAAUAAGCUCCGGCUAACUCCGUGCCAGCCGCCGCGGUAAAAC
rnacentral:rRNA from 1 species